rnacentral:rRNA from 1 species
ACUCCUACGGGAGGCAGCAGUAGGGAAUCUUCCACAAUGGACGAAAGUCUGAUGGAGCAACGCCGCGUGAGUGAAGAAGGGUUUCGGCUCGUAAAAACUCUGUUGUUAAAAGAAGAACAUAUCUGAGAGUAACUGUUCAGGUAUUGACGGUAUUUAACCAGAAAGCCACGGCUAACUACGUGCCAGCAGCCGCGGUAAUACGUAGGUGGCAAGCGUUGUCCGGAUUUAUUGGGGCGUAAAAGCGAGCGCAGGCGGUUUUUUAAAGUCUGAUGUGAAAGCCUUCGGCUCAACCGAAAGAAGUGCAUCGGAAACUGGGGAAACUUGAGUGCAGAAGAGGACAGUGGAACUCCAUGUGUAGUGGUGAAAUGCGUAGAUAUAUGGAAGAACUACCAGUGGCGAAGGCGG